ACGAACCGGACGAACGUUAUUCGGAAUCACUGGGCUUAAAGGGUGCGUAGGCGGCCUGACAAGUUGGGUGUGAAAUCCCUCGGCUUAACCGAGGAAUUGCGCUCAAAACUGUUGGGCUUGAGGGAGUUAGAGGUGAGCGGAACUUAGGGUGGAGCGGUGAAAUGCGUUGAUAUCCUAAGGAACACCAGUGGCGAAAGCGGCUCACUGGAGCUUUUCUGACGCUGAGGCACGAAAGCUAGGGGAGCGAACGG
rnacentral:rRNA from 1 species